CAGGAUAGGGGACCAGCAGGUGGCACUGCUGAGCAGCUUCAGCUUUCUAUGGAGCCACAUUAGCAGAACCUUAAAUGGAUCCAAACUGUUAGGCCAGAUCCAGGCAGCCUUCGUGUUCUCUACAUGAUCUGGGAUGAACAGAAAAGCUCGGAGCACAUUGUUGGAAACUGUGGCACAAAGAAUGGAGUGAAUCAUUUCUUCAUGGGCAGCUCACUGAUGACAGAUUCUGGAUCUGCAAGCCUGCUUCAAGAAGAAAAAACUGAUAAAUACAUGAGAAAAUAUGAUACAAACAGAGAAUUCAGCAUUUCUGGAAAGCAUCUGAGGGUUUUCCAUCUCUAACCACAGUUGGUCUGGAGCCAUCAGGAUGAGACAGCAGAUCUUCUUCUCCACCUUCAUCAUCCUCACAAACAUGCUGCUACUAGCAAGGCCUCUGACACACUUCUUCUUCUUCUUUAUGGUUUUUUCUGGCGGUUGGCAUGCAACGAAACGGUGCAUUACCGCCACCAACUGGUUUGGAGUGUGGAUCAGAAUG